AAAAGGUAAAUACAUACCUUUUCAUUCAGAAAGCUGUUCCCUGAAAGAGUUGGGAGGCUUUGAAUUCCCUUCAUCACUGGGAGGAGAGCAGGAGCCAUACACUGUGUGUGAGGGGUGUGGGGACCAUUCCUACUGUCUCCCUCCCUCUGUUCUCCCCUAAAUGAUCCUGAGCCAGGAAGAGUGAUGCAGAAUGUCUCUCACCCUGUGGAAGAGUUGGUCAGGCUGGUCCUCAGACAACCAGGGAAGCUCUUGGGGUCCUGGAGAAUAGGCACAUAGCAGAUAAAAGGAGUUCUUAACCAAACUUCCCUAGAACGGAGGGAGCUAACAAGAAAGAACUUUGGAAAUCUACCCUCCUCUUUCCCUGUCACUGCCAGGAAUGUCACCAUGAGAGCAGUUUCAGUUAAUGAGCAAACUCCUCAGACAAGGCAGGAAGGCAGCUCUUGGGCCUCACUGUCAAGCACAGGAAGCGACUGGAUUCCACUUGCCCGGUGUAGGGAUGACAGCAGGUAUUGAGUGGGACUGCAGGCCUGACAUCCUUAGCUCCUCCACACCCAGGACAGCCCGGCUGUCAGCACAGGGCAGCAGAAAGGACAGGGGACAAGCUCCAGGUGUGGGCGAGUCCCAGAGCAGCCCGGGGAGAGUGUCACUGUGUGGGUGCUGGCGUGGGGGCAGGAGCACACCACAUGCAGUUGCACGGGGGACUGAAUCUGAGGCUUUGGGGGAAGCAUCCAAGCCCCAGGGUGUGUGUGAGGGGGUCCCCCACAUGAGCAAUUCCUCAGGCCCAGCAAUGGCUGAUUCCCUCUGCUCGAGGAGAAAUCUCAUGUGAGGAAGGUGGAGUCAGGUCAGCUCCUCUCCAAUUACCCAGAAUGGGUGAGAGUUGAAGAUCUAGAAACAGAUUGCUGAGGCAGGAGAACAAAUGGUGACCCCUGCGCCUGCCCACGUUCCUGGAGGAAAACAGGAGCCAGUAGAGAGUGAGCUGACUCGGUGUGACUCCCUUAACAUUGACACAAAAGAGAAACUAUCAUAGGUCAUGGGUACCAGCAUCCCCAGUUCUCAUCAGGAAGCAGUACCCCAGGGCACAUGUCCCACAGACUGCUGAAAGAGAUCUUGCUCAGGGUUUCCCAGGAUGAGGGGGUGCAGGAGCCCCCCAGAAGUGCCCAUCCUCUAACCAACUGGGGGCCAGCUAAGCAGACAUCUUGGUCAAGCCUCAGCCCGUAGACUUGUGCUCUUGUGGCAUAAGAUGAGCCUCUGGGAACCAACUCGAGACCUACUGUUUGGGAGUUCGCCGGAGCAACGAGCCCCUUCUGAGGCCUCUAAGCUGCUGAGCUCUGCAGGAUUGAGGUCAUGAUCCCUGCCAUGUUCCAGAGGCUUCACAAGAAGAUGAAGGGACCCAGGAGGAGAUUGUGGGUCCAUGGGAACUGUCAGGCCCCAGAGAACCUCCUAGCCCAUGCUGGAAGAGAAGGCCAUUCCAUCUGGGAAUCACAUGGCACUGGGUGGAGAGAGAACCGACUGGGCCUGACGCCUUGCAGAACCAGCAUCCAGCCUGUGUCCAAAGUGCUCCUGGAACCACAGAAUGUUUCAUGCCUCCAACCCUGCCCCCUCUGUCUGUCUGUCUGUUUGUCCAUCUGUCCAUCUGUCUCUCUCUCUCUCUCUCUCUCUCUCUCUCUCUCUCUCUCUGUGUGUGUGUGUGUGUGUGUGUUACAUACAUGUAUAACAUUCAACACUCACACUCAUGCUCUGGCCCAUGACUUUAUCCAUGUGCUCAGCAUCCUCCCAUCCAGAAAUCUCCAAGGCUCCCAACUGCACAGGCGACCAGCCUGAGUUCUCUGCCGGUCACUCCCAGGCUCCACCCAGCCCUUCCCCAGCCCCUUCACACAGCCCAGCUCAGCCAGGCAGGUCUCCCCUAGGGCACUAUUUUCGAGCACACUUUCUCUGCAGAUGUUCAGUCAUUUGCACCUGGGGCUGCUCUGCAUUUGUGCAUCAGCCUCAGUAGGGGUGUCUGAAUUGGGUGAGAGGGUGUGUCGGAGAAGAAUCCUGACUUGCAUUGGUUUGAGCAGAUAACGAAUAAAAAGUGUUCUCGCCGUGGAAAAAUCCAGACGGGUGUUGGCCCAGGCACAGCUCUAGGUCAAAAUUUUAAGAACCCCCACUCAUCUCUCUUGGCUGCCUUCACCUUCCUUAACCUCUGGACUAGCACCCAUCAAGAACCCCUCUAGGAGCCGGGUGGUGGUGGCACAUGCCUUUGAUCCCAGCACUUGGGAGGCAGAGGCAGGUGGAUUUCUGAGUUCGAGGCCAGCCUGGUCUACAGAGUGAGUUCUAGGACAGCCAGGGCUACACACAGAGAAACC
rnacentral:lncRNA from 1 species